ensembl:lncRNA
GCGCACGGCUCACGUCCAACAUGCACCCUCUCGGGCAGAGGCCAGGGAACAGCUACCGUACGUGCAAAUACACUGAGAGCAGGAGGGGACAUGGAGGACGCAGGGAGGACUAGCCGGGGACAUGCUGUUGCUUUGCGUCCUUACAUUUUAACUGGAAGAAGGAAUCCAAGGAAAGAUGUGAAGUUUUUGGCCGUACCUUUGCUUUUAAACUGCAUGUAAGAUUGUUCUCUGGCACGGACGCUGCCUAUCACAAAGCAGCCUGUGUCCGUAGUGUUAAGCCCUCUUUCACAGACACGCUGUGAAGCUGUGCACAAAGUACCUGCUGGGAAUGGUCCCGGGUUGGGCUAUAACCCUGAGCUGUGUCUACGUGAUGGUGUGCUUCCUGGACUGGCUGCUGUCUUGCUCAAGCAGCGUUUGUGUUGUAUAAUUCCAUCUGCAACAGUCUGCAAAUCCGAGGGGAAUGGAGGGGAGUAUUAUGUUGCAAGAGCCAAAAGCCUUCCUCAGCUCUUCUCAGUUUGCUUGGACACAGAUGGUUGUUUUUGAGCCUUGGUGGCUGCUUUUAGGUAAUGAGAAGUUCCAUGAUGAGGGCCGCCAGGUGCAGCAGGGGGUGAGCACAGCUGGCACUGUGGCUGUGAGGCUCUGAAUGGCUUCAGAUGCAGCGCUGGUACAGGGAGUCCUAGCAUGCAUCUCCUAGGAAAGCACAUAUGCAAGGCUUUACAGUGCUUUAGCUUGAUCUCCCUAAAUGAAGCAUAAGGACUUGGUCCCCUAAGUGUUCAGGAAGGGGAAGAAGUGGAGGACUGGAAAAGAGGUGAUGAAAUCACAUCCAAGUGUCCUAAGGGAUGUGCAUCAGUAUUUCACAUGAAGACAGGACAUGAGCACAGGCUUGUGCAUACAGGGCUGCUGCUGACCAAAAAGCUUGCAGAAUGCUGCAUUAAAAAGGAGCAGAAGGACACCGGUCCAGACUGAAUAAAGGCCUGCCUGGCAUAGUGCCCUCCUGCUGGCAGCAGCCAAAAAAACAACAGGGGAACAGGACAAUACCAACACUUCUCCCAGCCUGCAGCAACCAAGAGACUUCCUGAGACAGAUGCAAUGUCUGCAUGUUUUGGAGCUCUCAACAGAUCUCUCUUCCAUACAUCUUAUGGCAUCUUUUUUCAACCCAUGGGCAAUUUCAUCAUCCACAGCCUUGUUUGACAAGGAUGUCCACAGGCUGGCUGCAACCUCUUACAGUCUGGACUGAUUCUCCGAGCACCAGCGGGUGUUCCAUAUGUGAGAGCAGAAAUUACAUCUUGUACUGCUGUUUUCUCCCUGCAGACACGUUGCCUUUGGGGAAGGGGAUGGUGUGAGCAGAGCUGUGUUCAGCCACUGGACAUGUGCGUGAUUCAGCACUGUUUUUAUCUUUGUACCUCCUAGACUGAGGCCUGGCUGUCCUGCCAUUGCAUCCCUCCUGCUGUCUCGCCCCAGCUAAGACAGUUUCUCUUUCCCCUUCUGCCAAGCAGUGGGACUUGGUUAUGCUCCUGUAAAAAUAAGAAUUGCCUGGAGGUGCAAUACCUCCAUGCUGCCCAGGAAUCACAGGGACACUGCAUCUCAGCUUCCGUCUUGAGAACUUCAUGUCUCUGAUUCAGAAUAAUAGCUGAAUAAACACUGCUCUGUUUGGGAUUUCUCACCCACGCCCCCUGCCUUGGCCUGAAGCAGACCCAUUUCCUGAGGUCCUUCUCAGGGUUUCACAGGGUCUCCAGGGAACACCUGUGUGAGUUGCAGCGCAGACUUCAUUUGCUCUGACCACUGUCUUGCUCUACAGGCACCACGGUCCUGAGCAAAAGGAGGAUGAUUAUAUAGCUGCAAAUGGCCAUGUCUCGCUUUCAAGAAGGGUAAUUAAACAUCUGAAGGCCACAGACUGGGAUUAAUGACAAGAGGGCCCAAACAGAAGAUGUGGGGAUGGUGGCACCAGCUAGAUGAAAUGCUGAUCCUCUGGCUGCUAAGGAAGCACAGAAAGCUGGCUUGGUGCUGUGCUGAUGUUUCUGAAACUCGAGAGAGAGGUUUUGAGAUGCUGAGAUUUUGAAAUUAUAUUAAGUGCUGGAUGUUAAGGGGUAAUUACAGAAAAAGAAAAACAAGCAAAAUGAACAGUGUUUUUUCCCCUCCUCCACCAAGUGAAAUGGUAAUGGAAUAUGGUCUCGUGUAGUAUAAUGCUUUAAGUACUGCGUGUCCCAGUUUCACAAUGCUCAGUACAAUGUGUACAAAAA